UCCAUGUCGCCACCAGGUCUCAGUCCAGACAGCAGCAGGAGCGGGUAGAAUUCACUCCCAGGGUGCACGGUGAUCACUGAGGAAACAGCAAUGUCAGGAAUGAAGCUCUAAUGUUGCUAACAACAUUCUGGAAGAGACACUGGAGACAGCGUUGAGAGGUAUCUGCAGCAGGCUGUGUGACCCAGCAGCUGGAUAUUCUCAGAAGCUCAGUCCAUGAGACCUUUGAGAACAAGGCAGACAGGACCCCAGGGGAAUUUUCUGGCUUCUUCUUGCUCCAGCCAAAAUUCCAAAAUGGAAUAGUGUGAAGUGUGAUAAGACCAAAAUGGAAGGGAAGAGGGGAGGGGGGCGGGAAAGAACCCCAGAGGUUGCUGUUUUGGAAGACUGGGGAACUGGGGACAGUGGGGGAGGAGGAGGGAGACAAAUUCCUGCCUGGAUAUUCAAUGCAAGAAGAGUUUCCUUUUCUGAUUAUAACAGUUACUGGGUCAUCAGGAUUUAAUUUUUACUGAGUGCUGAGUUCCUAAACAGUGUGCAUCCAAAUGUGUCACCAUGAGGAAGGAACCGUUCUGUGAGGACAGCGUCACUAUCACUACAAUCCCACAGAAGCGAUGACACAGAAGCUUAAAGUGUGUCCUGUGUUGGAAGAUGAUCAGUGCAUUUCUGGACAUAAUUUCAGGUGACAACGAUUUGUAAAAGGGACUCUCAAGCCAAGCAUCUAUUGGAGACAGGCAUAGUGCUACAUAUCUGCAGUCUUAGUUUCUCAGAAGUUUGAGGACUGCCAGGGCAACUUUGUGAGACCCAAUCUUAAAAUCCAUCAUCAAUCAACUAGAAAUUGAUCCUGGAGGACUGGGGGGUGGGAGCAAUGAGAGGAAGAAAGGUUUCUGGGCAUAUAGAUCUUUUUUCUACAGAGACCUUCAUGUCGUUUAAAUUAUGAUGAUAUGAAUAUAUAAUAGUUCGAUAAAUAAAAAUGUAAAAUUAAAAAGAUUAAAAACUUAAAAGAAAUUUGAAGUAAAAUAGCAAUUCUAGCUGGACAGUGGUGGUGCACACCUUUAAUUCCAGCACUCAGGAGGGAGAGGCAAGCGGGUAUUUGAGUUGGAGAUCGGUUUGUUCUACAAAGCCAGAGCUGCACAGAGAACCCUGUCUCAUAACAGCCAAUGAGAUACAAGCUUAAAUACUCUUUUAGGUCGCAGCUUAGCUCCGCACUUGUAAAACGUCUUUAGAAGGCAGGAGGAAAGAUUCACACCCCUGGAGCAAUCCAGGAAACCUUUGCCCGGUGGAGAGACUGGGUGAACUUUUCUUAAGAAACGCGCAGGAAUGAUUCUCCGCCCUGUCCUUCCGGGAACAACUGACUCAGGCAUUUUAGUAAGAGUCCAGGGCAGGUAAGGCACACUGCAUGGAACUUAAUUAUGCAUUACUUGGUUUCUUUUAUGAUCCUCAAGCCAAGUGUGGUUAUUAAAUGCUUUAUGUUUAAUCUGUAUCUACUGCAAGCAGAGUCUGACUGCCUGGGAGGAGAACCGAUACUUUUGUAGUUCCAACUCUCCCAGGUCCCUUUGGUGAUACCAAGAAAAUGACAAAUGAAUUGGAAGAAGGGUGCCUUUCGG
rnacentral:lncRNA from 1 species